CCAUGCCGUAACUGGUGGCAGGUAUAAGGCCACGGGGCCAAGGGGCUCACGUGAAAGUCUGGGAGCAGGAAGAACUACCAGGGGAUUGGAACCUGGGUGUUAUUCACCCAGUCUACAAAAAUGGCGACAGGCUGGAUUGCUCGAAUUUCCGAGCCAUCACAGUCCUAAAUGCCGUCUACAAGAUCCUGUCCUAGAUCCUGUUCGGCAGACUUGCGCCCCUUGCUUCAAUUUUUUUUGGCAGCUAAGUUGGUUUGUUGGAGGCAAAUCCACCACCGACCAAAUUUUCACUCUACGGCAGAUCCUGCAGAAGUGCCGAGAGCGCCAGAUCCCAACGCACCACCUGUUCAUCGACUUCUAGGCGGCCUACGACACUAUAGACCGGAAGAAGCUAUGGAGCAUCAUGCAGCGGUACCACUUCCCUAAGAAGUUGAUCCGACUGUUAGAGGUCAUCAUGAACGUGGUGCAGUGCAAGAUGAGGGUGUCGAACUUGAUGUCGGAAUUGUUCGAAUCUCACAGGGGCCAAAUGAAAGGUGACGGACUCUCCUGUCUGCUCUUCAAAAUCGCUCUGGAAGGUGUCAUUCGAAGUGCGAGGCUAGACAACGAUGUUCGUGGCACGAUCCUCUGCCGGUCUCUCCAAUUUCUUGACUUCGCAGAAGACAUCAACAUUAUCGGCAGGACAACAGCGAAGAUGUGUGAGACGUACACCCAACUCAAACGAGAAGCAGAAAGAAUUGGAUUGAUUAUCAAGGCGACGAAGACGAAGUACCUGCUUGCCGGUGACUCAGACCAUCUGGGAAGCAGUGUAUUAGUUGAGCGCGACAAUCUCGAGGUAGUAAAGGAGUUUUGCUAUCUCAGGACGGUCGUUACUUCGGACAACGACAUCAGCAGCGAAAUCCGGAGACGCAUUGUUCAGGGGAAUUGGGCAUACUAUUGGCUUCACCGACUGCUGAGAUCCAGAAAACUUCGAGCCCGCACGAAAUGUGAGAUAUAUUGUACAUUGAUUUGCCCAGUGGUCCUCUAUGGACACGGACCAUUCGAGCGGAGGAUGCAAACGCUCUGGGUGUGUUUGAUCGACGCAUCCUCCGGACCAUCUUUCGCGGUGUGUUCGAGCAUGGAGCGUGGAGGAGAAAGAUGAACCACGUACUUGCUGAGCUGUACGGCGAGCAUCCUGACGAUGGCGAAGGCUGGCAGGAUACGAUGGCUAGGGCAUGUCAUGAGGAUGCCGGACUCAUGCCCCAUCAAGAAGGUGUUCGACAGCGUUCCCCAGUUCGGCAUAAGGCGCAGGGGUGCACAGCGAACUCGAUGGCUGGACCAGGUGAAGCGAAACCUGUCGGAGAUCGAUGCAAACGGAUGAUAGGAGGCUGCAGCCAGGGACCGAGUAUCCUGGAGAAUAAUUGUUGACCGGGCCAUGUCACAUCGACGUGCUCUAUAGUAAGUAUGCCAACAAGACAGAGAGAGGCAUAAUUGACUCGUUUUAUUUUUGAAUAAACAUUGGUUUAAACAUUAAAAUAUAGUAGAACGUCGAUUAUCCGGGGGCGGAUUAACCGGCGGGCGGCUUAACUGUGCGCAUAAAUGUGACAGCUGUUCAAACGUACAGCGAACAUUUGCAGCGAUGGGCAAAUGCUCAACCAAAUUUUUGUGCAGCUCUGUAGUGUCUAGUGGUGUUUUCGAAAUUUAUUUUUGUUCAUGAACAGUUGUUAAACCUAUAGUUAUUGAUUAAAAAAAUAUUCUACUAACGAUUUAUCGAUUGAUUCAAGGUGAAUUAAUCAUAAAACUUGUGGAUUAUUUAAUUUUUAUAUGAAUUUGACAUUUCUUGGACCAUUCAGCUUAGCUUCAGCUUAUCCGGCGCUACAACCGCUUUGCGGUCUUGGCCUGCCUCAGGAGUGUCCGAAACCGCUCACGGUCUCGCGCCUUCGUCUGCCAGUCCGUUAUCCCGGCCUUAAUGGCGGACGCCUCCACGCCAUCUUGCCACCUCAAUUUGGGCCUACCACGCCUCCUCUGUCCUUGUGGACGGCCUAAAAAGACUUUACGGGCUGGGUCGUCCGUUUCCAUGCGUACAACAUGGCCAGCCCACCGGAGCCUGGCGAGCUUGAUACGCUGUACGACAGUGAGGUCGCCGUACAUCUCGUAUAGCUCGUCAUUAUAGCGGCUCCUCCAUUGUCCUUCCACACAUACGGGGCCAAGUAUCCUUUUGAGCAUCUUCCUCUCGAACGCGGCUAAGAGGGCUUCGUUAGAUUUGGACAGUGUCCAUGUCUCAGAGGCGUAUGUGAGUACUGGUACUAUAUAGGUACUAUAUAGUCCCAGCUUCGUCCGUCGCGACAGGUUCUUUGAAGUGAACUGCUUUUUUAGGCUGUAGAAUGACCGGUUGGCAGCCAGCAUCCUUGCGCGCAACUCAACUUCCAUACUGUUGUCGUUGCUGACCUUUGACCCAAGAUAGGUGAAUUCUGGGUCGACUUUAAAAUUGCGUUCACCUAUCUGUACAUCACGCCUACGUAGAUUCGGAUUAUUUAUUGGUAGGUCCGCUGAUGUUGCCACCAUCAGCUUGGUCUUGGACCAUUAUCCGUGCAAAACCGGUGUAUCGAUAAACCGGCAAACGCCCGGUCCCGAGCUGCCCGGAUAAUCGACGUUCCACUGUAAAACAAGAAUUGAAAAAACACAGCAAAAUUAUUGUUCUUAUCUUUCAGAUUAAAACACAUAAAGAAACAUCAUGUCUUGCUUUUUCUGCUUUAUUUAAAUUCAAUAAAGUAUAUGUGUGUGUAUCCUUUUGGUGUGUAUUUGUGUAUCGGUUUGUGUUCAUGUGUUGUUGCUCGGUUUUUUUUUAACAAUCCGAGAGAGACCCUUAUUUCUUCUCCAUUCUGCUCAUCACAAUAUCCAAAUCUACCCGAAUGCAGGGACAUUCCGUAGAGACAUAUAAAGAUUUUUGUUUAUUAUAAUCGAUUUCUCUUGCUUGUUUAAAGUUUUGUUUGUUUGUCUUUGUUGUCGUUGUUUUUUCUUACGUUUUGGUUUGGUUCUAUCUUCUUGCUUUAUCUUGCUGAUGUUCUUUAUUGCUCUCCUCAACUCUCCUAUUUCUUUCUUCUUUUUACUUUCUUGCUUUCCUUUUAUCCUCUUUCCUUUUCCUUUUUCCACUUUCCCUUUCGAUCUCUUUGUUUUGCUAUUGCUGAUUGCUGAGUGUGUUUUUGUUGAGUUUAAACGUGAUAAUGUAGAAGACAGUUUUAGCCAGACAUCAAUAUGCUGCAAACAUGUUCAAGUUUUCGAUAAACGGGGACAAUAAUACGAGAAUUUAUAAUACUUUACGAUAUGUCUUACGGGCUAGUGAUUAACUAAAGCUAGCUGUUUUCUCUUUUUACUUGUUGUCGUUUACUUUGCUGAUGUUAUUCUUCAAUAUAAAUAAAUCAAUUACAAUCUUUUUUUUUUAGAUUAAGAUUAAAUUAAUGCAGCGUACGCAACGCUCUUGGAUAAAAACUAUAUAUUCUCUACUGCUGCUGCUUCUACUGCUGCAGCUUGAGACUAGUUUAACGGCGUCACGUCACUGAACACGUACACUUACUUAUACUGCUGAUUUUCGAUAAUAAUUAGAUUAAAAUGCUUACACAUCGUAUAUACCGCCACACCCUCAGCUUCCCUCUGUUGCUUUUUUGUGAUAUUUUUAUUGCUUACUGUUGGGAUUGUGUGGGGUCCCGAGUGAGGGUGUUUCAUCUGCCUUCUGCCCACUGAUAACCACCUCUCUUUGCUUUUCUUCUUUGUUGACAGCUUGAUUGCUAUUGCUUGUUUUGUUCUGCACAAGGGUGCUGAAAGGGUUUCCUCUUUUAUUUUGCUAAGCAUUACUGACCGAACGGACUGUGACUGUGAUUGGUUGUUUUUUUCUUCUUUUAAUCGAACUAGUGGAAUGGUUCGUAUUAUUUCUCCCCGACCCCCGACUCAUGGACUAGAAAAGGGCCGGGACGGGUGGUAGUGGUGGGUAGUUUAGUACUAUUAACCUAAUUUGCCAAAAAACACGGAACGAAUGCAGUAAAAACAUUGACACGGCGAUAAGGGGAGGGGAAGGGUGCAAGUAGAAGAUAAUCUGAUAUAAACGUUAUAAGUUCAUUUACUUACUAACUUGUGCUUGCUCGUGUAUUUUCAGCUUGGUAACUAGGAGCCAUGUGAUUCAUAUUCGUUUAAUUCAUACUACACACCAAAAAUUACUAAACUUGGAAAGUGUAAUGACAUAAAUGCAGUCAAUAAAUUGCACCAGGUGUAUUUGCUUUAACAACUUUCUUCUCCGUUCGCGCUCGAUUCAAUUCGCUAAAGUUUUUCUCACGUUUAGUUUGGUUACGUGUUUGUUUUUCUGUUUUUUGUUUAAAUUUUGUCUAAUCCAUUUUCUCCACACCUACUAGCGACUGGGUUUUUAUUUGUUUUUCGUUCUUCUAUCAAUUCUAUCCUUUUAGGAUUAUUUCGAUUCGCGGGUGUUAUUUUCCUAAAUUUGUUUCCGUUAAAAAUCUCCCAAUUUUGCUUACACACGUAAUUACACAUAAACUUUUUUUGUGUCUUUUUUUAUCUUUUCUUCCAACGUGUAAAUGGUAAAUUGGUUGUUUUUGUUUUGUUUAUUUUGUUUUUAUUAUUUUCUAACUCUGCUUACAAGUUAAUAUCAAAAAUGUUAACAUUUUUGUUCAUUUUUUUAUCUCCUUUUUUAAUACUUUAUCUGCUCCUUCCUCCUUCAAUAGCAGUUUCCUUUUAUUGCCCCUUGAUUUUUCCUUUCUUUCCUUUCACUUCAGCUUUUCGUUCACUAGCAACACGUUUGACGUGUUGUUUGUUUCUACUUUCCCGUUUUCUUUGUUUAUGCUUUUGCUUCCUGCUGCCAUUGUUCGUUGAUUUUGGCAUAACAGCGUGGUUGGUAUUUGGUAGCUGCUGUGUUCGUUCGUAGUUACCUAAGUGCUUAGAGCGUGAUCAGUAUUUUAUGGUUCAAUUCAGUCGCUUCCUCACUAGGAUUCGCUGGGGGAGUGUUUGCUUCAGUUUCGUUUCUUUGUUUAUUACUUCUCUUCUGCUUUUUCUACUAAAAUGAUGUUAAUUACGUUCUGCUAUACAUUCAUAAUACUUUCUUAUAGAUUGUUAGCUUGUUUGUUUUGUUUGUUUGUUUUAUUUAUUUGUAUGUAGGUUUGUUGUUCUUCUUACACGGUUGCAAAUACUUUUUCUUGGUUUUACAUUGGUGGGAUCACAUGUUGUUUUAUUUUUAUUUUUUCUAUCGACAGCUAUCGAUACUUGGGUUUGAUUUUUCACCGUCCGCACACACAUCCAAUCGGUUGGCUGCCCCGGGUUGUAAUAGUUUCAUCUUCAAAUGUUAGCCUUAUUAAACAUUUCCUAUCAAUAUAUAUAUAUAUAUAUAUACGAUACUAGCAAAACGUUUGCUAAACAUGUAAAAUAGAUUAGCUUGAAAAUUUUACCCACACGCAUUCACACACAAAGUCUGAUUGGUCGUGUGGGUACUUUUUGUUUUUUUUUUUGUUUUUUUUUUUAUUUAUCUAUAUAGGGUUCAGUGUUCCUAUCUCAUUGCUCUCGUUCCGUAUUGCAGUGCGCUCUGUGGCAGGGUGUGUGUAUCCCCAUAACCCCUCUUGUUUGCUGCCUCUCAACGGCCAUUGAAAGAGAAAGUAGUACCUAAAUGUGCAGAAGUACAAUAUAAAUAAUUUUAAACACGAUACCAUAAAGUAUGAUCGUUUUGGUUUCUUCUUUUUUUGUUUGGCAAAAAACAACAUAUCGCUUUUCAUUACAUUUCAUGUGAUCUGGUACAACGUAAUGACAUGCAUUGAGUAUUUCCAUUUGUUCUUGACCGUUUGUCUUGUUUUGUAGUUUUUUUUGGUUUGGUUUUCUUCUUUUUAUCAAUAAAUUUGCAACAGGAGCUCUUCACAAGUAAAUAAGAUCAAGAGAGUAGGUUUGAUUAAUCGAACGUUAGUGAUUACAAAGAGAGGUAUUGAUAAGAAUAGCGGACACAUAAUUAAAUAGUUUGAAUAAUAUAAACAUUUAUAGCUACAAUUCUAACUUUCAUUCUCCAUUAAACGCUAAAUUAGGUGACCCUUUUGCUGCCUAUGCUGACGCAACUAUCGCCUGUAUCGGUUCUGCUGGGGGAAGUACUGUAGGAUGGAUGUUCCACAUCCGCUAUUCAUUCUGCACCAUAAAUAGGAGAAGAAAGCAGAGCUACAUUCUACUACAAUAAUACUGAUGUGGUUCGUUAUCGUUUGUUUUUUGUUUGUUAAUUUGGUUUAGUUUCUGUUUCUGUUUCUCUUUUGUUUAUACUUUCCAAUCGCUAUCUUCCGGCAUCUUUAUGGAAGUUUUUAGAUUGAUAGAUCUAGCGGUCCAACGAACAAUUUCAUUGAUAGUAGUGUGUGAUGCCUGUGGGUUUGUGUGUGAUUUGACCGAUUAAUGUAACUGUUACGGUAAAAUCUGCGAUAUAGAACUAUACGUAUAUAGCAUUUAAACAACAUCAAAUUAAUGCAGUGAAUAUGUUAAAGAUGGACAAUCAAUAUCUCAAGAACAUCGGCUGCAUAGAAUAGUGCAACCGUUCCCUCUUUCUCUCUCGAUCUCUCGCCUAACUAUUGCACUUUGGCCCGGCGGUGGCGGUGACGGCUACGGAAUCGUAACGUUUGCUUGCUUGUGGCAUUACUUAAUCGAUUAUAAGUUAAUUUUCCUAUCUGAGAAUGUAAAUAUUGAAAUAUAUGUAUAUAUGUUACUAUUGGACUAAUAAGGUUUAAUGCCUUGAAUGCUUUCUCCUAUUAUUGUAUUUUCCUUUCCCACUCCAUGACCAUCCUUCCUUGUUUUUGCUGUUCUUGUUAUUGAUGUUGUUGUUUCUGUUGCUGUUCUAGUUGCAUUUUUCCGCACGGUUUCUUUCUUUGUGGUGUCCAAGUUGCUCCACCAUCUCCGUGCUUUUCGCUUGAAAGAUCGCACGAUCGGUCGAUGGGAGCUAUAAAUAUAAUUUGCUUACUUACUUGUACAGGCGUGUUCACUAUAGUAGAUGUAUAGAUAUAUAAAUAUCGUAGACUCUCGUACUCGGGGUUUGUUCCUGUGCUUUUAUCGUGCUUACGUUUGCUUGUGUUUUUCAUCGUCAGUUGGAUCAGGUUAGGGAACUUUGUUGGUUCACCAUGUAACACACUGUGUACUGUUCGCUCUAGGUUAGUGCUUCGUUACCUCCAUCGUUAUUGGUUUACCUUGUAUUGUGCGUUCUUUUUUUAUCAAUGAACGCCUUCGCCUUGAUUCCUCUCAAAUCGUAUCGACUAGCACAACCUGAAUUUGUUUACUCCAUUGCCAUUGAUUGAGCAUAUCAUUGUGUUUACUUGUUAGUAACUAAAGGGUUUCUCAUUUCAUGGGAAAGGUGUCGACACAAAUUGGCCAGUUUUUGUUGUUGUUGUAAGGUUUACUGCUAUCAAUCGAAUAUCGAAAGAUUACUCAAAUUGAGUGGUUUCCAUAUUCGAAAAGCCAAAAUCUUCUGCGUUAUCACCACUCUGUAGAUAGUGGAAUAACCUAUCAAAAACAAGUGCAUCCAAACAAGUACUGGAAUGAGUCGAUUGGCAGAACUCGAACACAAACGCAAACAUUAAAACAAUUAUUAUAUACUUUCAACACUGUGCACAGCAGCUGAUGCGUCUAGCAACGUUCCUUCACAAGCAGGAACGCACAAAAAAGUUUCUACCGAUUUUACGCUCCCAUUCUAAGGGCAUCGAGUAUCAAAACCGUCUGCUUGUGUGUGUGUGGUAACGUUCUCCACAGCAAUGGUGUUGUAUAUAGAUAAACUACAUGCAUUUGUUUGUUUUGUUUGGGCGGAAUUGGAAACAAGCGAGCAGUCGUGCAUUGAAGUUAUGCUACUGUUCGUAUAGUGUGUGAGUGUUUUCUCCUCGAUCGCUACUACGCUUCGCUACGACUGGUCAAUGUGGUCCCAAAUAGUUUGCGUUCGCUUCGCGUACGCAGCGGUACGCUGUUGAAGGUGGUUGCGGGCCGGAACGUGACUACUUCAUGGGGCAACGUAGUAGGUUCAACCGUACACACACUGUGUUGUUGUUAUUUAAAACGCACAAGUUGUAGGGAGGAAGCCGUACAGAAAACAAUAUAGAAAGAAUAUAAAAAGAAUAAAUACAAAAAUAAACAAAUAAUACACAAUUCUAAAUAAAUAAUAUUUUGAAUACAAUCUUGUUUCCAUAUUUGGUACUUUCUUUCCUUUCACUUUACAUUGUUUUGCGCACGGUUCACGUGUCACGUAGUUUUUUCUGUCUCCACUCCUGAUUGUUUUACAUCGAAACAUUUUUUACGCACCAACAACUCUUGUGAAGCAACUCAAUUUCGAUACAAUUUCGCUUAAAUAAUCGAUUCAAAAUUAUACAAACGAACUCAAACGCGUGCGAUUAAAAUUAAACUAUGACAUUAAAUUAAAUUGCGUGUGGAUUUCUUUAACAAAUUCUGUUUAAGCUAUCUUGAACACAGAAACACACCAAGCAUUCGGCAAAGUAUUCGGCAAAGUAUUGAUUAAAAUAAAAUUAAUUAGAAAAAGAAACGAAAACAAAAGCAAUAGUGUAUUAUCUAGCAAAACUAACAUUGGACAUUCUCUAGCACAUUGAUGUACAUACACGCCAUACGUUCAAUUUGCAAGUUUGCGACUAGCACCUUAGCAUCCGUUUCACCUUUACCGGGGAAAGGAAGAAAAAAGUAAACAUUUCUAAACAUUAUCUGAGACUGAAGGAAAUCUCGAGUCGUGCACUUCAUCUCUCUAUUCGUGUAUGCAAAAAAUAACACCAAACAAAUGGCAAAACUAAACCGCAAACAUCAUGGAACAAGUGACAAUAAAUUGAAAUGUAUGUGUAUUAAAUAACAUUCAAUAGGAUGUGUGUGUGUGUGUGUGUGUGUGUGUGUGUGUACUUUUAAAUUUGUGGCAAAACACUACUUCAAAUAAGGAAUAAGGAACGAAGAAUAUAAAAAUCAAAAGCACUUUUUAACUUAACGAUACCAGUCAUCGGCGCGAACUGCCACUCUGGUGAUGCUUAAAAACGAACAAAAACCGAACGAACGCAAACACGCACAAAUGAAUAUAAAUAAGUUAAUUAAAUGUGUCUAAACAACCAUCAGCUUCUCGGUUGCUGGCCGAACGCAGAACCGCCAAACUCUCAGAGAAGAAGGGGAGGAAAUGGAAGCUUAAGUGAACAACUGCUUUCACACAGCUUUGUUUCUUCAUGGUGCAAAAAACGGCGAGUGACAUCAUCAUCAUCAUCAUCAUUAUCGAUUACCCUUUUGACUAGCAAUCCCAUGUCCUGGGGAAGCCCCCGUUCGAUGUUACUGCUGCAUUUCCUCUUUCUGUCCCCUGUAUCUUUUCAACGCGCACACAUCCCAUUCGUCCUUCCUGUUGUACAUUCAAUUUUCCCACCGUUUCUUUUUUUUUCUUUCCCUUUCCUUCACUACCGUGAAUCCUUCGUGUUUCGUUUACUCGUGUGUAAAACCUUGUGUAAAAUUCUUCUAAAAAUGUUUUGCCUUCCAUAGAUGUGUUACGAACAAGUUACAGUUACUCUUCCUCCAUUCCUUUUAUGCUUCUCCUUAUUAGCGAGUCUCGUAGGGGGUAGAGCGAGCUCAAACCUCCGCUCAAAAGUCAGAUCGAAAGUCUGACCUGAACAUAGGCGAUGUUUAGGGAUGGUCAUUAUGACGCACUUCCGCUUACGACAGUAUCACUAGCAGCAGCAUUAAUUAUUAUUACGGUUCCGGUUUGCAUUACGUUUGUCCUUCUCCUCCACUCAGCAGCCUGACUAAAUGGCUGUCGAAACGAAGGUUAUAGCUAUUAUUGCACAUUUUUCCCCGCAAUUUCCCUAUUUUCCAUUUUCGCCUUCACCCAAAACCGGCGGUUUUUUUUUU